rnacentral:rRNA from 1 species
UACGAAGGGUGCGAGCGUUGUCCGGAAUUAUUGGGCGUAAAGAGCUCGUAGGCGGUUUGUCGCGUCUGCCGUGAAAGUCCGGGGCUCAACUCCGGAUCUGCGGUGGGUACGGGCAGACUAGAGUGAUGUAGGGGAGACUGGAAUUCCUGGUGUAGCGGUGAAGUGCGCAGAUAUCAGGAGGAACACCGAUGGCGAAGGCAGGUCUCUGGGCAUUAACUGACGCUGAGGAGCGAAAGCAUGGGGAGCGAACAGG